GUCGAGAGGCUUCGGCAAUGGGGGAAACCCUGACCGAGCGACGCCGCGUGCGGGAUGACGGCCUUCGGGUUGUAAACCGCUGUCAGGAGGGAAGAAUCCUUUCGGGCCAAUACCCCGAGAGUUGACGGUACCUCCAGAGGAAGCUCCGGCUAACUCCGUGCCAGCAGCCGCGGUAAUACGGAGGGAGCGAACGUUGUUCGGAUUUACUGGGCGUAAAGGGCGUGUAGGCGGCUUUGCAAGUCAGGGGUGAAAUGUCCCGGCUCAACCGGGGACCUGCCUUUGAAACUGCAGAGCUUGAGGCCGUGAGAGGAGACUGGAAUUCCCAGUGUAGCGGUGAAAUGCAUAGAUAUUGGGAAGAACACCAGUGGCGAAGGCGAGUCUCUGGCACGGUUCUGACGCUGAGGCGCGAAAGCUAGGGGAGCGAACGGGAUUAGAUACCCGAGUAGUCC
rnacentral:rRNA from 1 species